CGGGGGGCAGCAGGCGCGAAACCUUUACAAUGCACGAAAGUGUGAUAAGGGAAUCCUAAGUGCUCAUGCAUAGCAUGGGCUUUUUUCAAGGGUAAAUACCUUGGAGAAUAAGUGGUGGGUAAGACUGGUGCCAGCAGCCGCGGUAACACCAGCGCCACGAGUGGGGACCACAUUUAUUUGGCCUAAAGCGUCCGUAGCUGGCUAAGUAAAUCUCUUGUGAAAUCGAGAAGCUCAACUUCUCGGCGUGCAGGAGAGACUGCUUUGCUUGAGACCGGGAGGGGUAAGGAGUAUUCUGAGGGGACCGGUAAAAUGGGAUAAUCCUUGGAAGACUACCUGUGGCGAAGGCGCCUUACCAGAACGGGUCUGACGAUGAGGGACGAAAGCCAGGGGAGCGAACCGGAUUAGAUACCCGGGUAGUCCUGGCCGUAAACGCUGCGAGCUAGGUGUUGCGCAUUCUUCGAGAAUGUGCAGUGUCGAAGCGAAGGUGUUAAGCUCGCCGCCUGGGAAGUACGGUCGCAAGG
rnacentral:rRNA from 1 species